UCCGUAGGUGAACCUGCGGAAAGGAUCAUUA
rnacentral:rRNA from 1 species